GGGCCUGUAGCUUAGCCUGGUGGAGCAUCCGCCUUAUAAGCGGAGGGUCGAGAGUUCAAAUCUCUCCAGGCCCA
rnacentral:tRNA from 1 species